rnacentral:rRNA from 1 species
GUUUGAUCAUGGCUCAGAUUGAACGCUGGCGGCAGGCUAACACAUGCAAGUCGAGCGGAUGACAGGAGCUUGCUCUGANAUUCAGCGGCGGACGGGUGAGUAAUGCCUAGGAAUCUGCCUGGUAGUGGGGGACAACGUUUCGAAAGGAACGCUAAUACCGCAUACGUCCUACGGGAGAAAGCAGGGGACCUUCGGGCCUUGCGCUAUCAGAUGAGCCUAGGUCGGAUUAGCUAGUUGGUGAGGUAAUGGCUCACCAAGGCGACGAUCCGUAACUGGUCUGAGAGGAUGAUCAGUCACACUGGAACUGAGACACGGUCCAGACUCCUACGGGAGGCAGCAGUGGGGAAUAUUGGACAAUGGGCGAAACUGAUCCAGCCAUGCCGCGUGUGUGAAGAAGGUCUUCGGAUUGUAAAAGCACUUUAAGUUUGGGAGGAAGGGCAUUAACCUAAUACGUUAGUGUUUUUGACGUUACCGACAGAAUUAAGCACCGGCUAACUCUGUGCCAGCAG